CGAACGGGUGAGUAACGCGUGAGGAACCUGCCUCAAAGAGGGGGACAACAGUUGGAAACGACUGCUAAUACCGCAUAAGCCCACGGGUCGGCAUCGACCUGAGGGAAAAGGAGCAAUCCGCUUUGAGAUGGCCUCGCGUCCGAUUAGCUAGUUGGUGAGGUAACGGCCCACCAAGGCGACGAUCGGUAGCCGGACUGAGAGGACGACCAGCCACACUGGGACUGAGACACGGCCCAG
rnacentral:rRNA from 1 species